AUAAGAUGGAAUCAGUGUUUGGACAUACAAUUUUAUGUUGAUUCCAUCUCAUGA
rnacentral:pre_miRNA from 1 species